GAUGAACGCUGGCGGCGUGCCUAAUACAUGCAAGUCGAACGAGGUCUUCGGACCUAGUGGCGAACGGGUGAGUAACACGUUGGUACCUACCCCGAAGUGGGGAAUAACUGCCCGAAAGGGUGGCUAAUACCGCAUAAUACCGCAAGGUUAAAGCAGUAAUGCGCUUCGGGAGGGGCCUGCGUCCCAUUAGCUAGUUGGUAGGGUAAUGGCCCACCAAGGCGACGAUGGGUAGCUGGAUCGAGAGGUUGACCAGCCACACUGGGACUGAGAUACGGCCCAGGCUCCUACGGGAGGCAGCAGUAAGGAAUCUUCCACAAUGGACGAAAGUCUGAUGGAGCAACGCCGCGUGCAGGAUGACGGCCUUCGGGUUGUAAACUGCUUUUAUACGGGAAGAUUAUGACGGUACCGUAUGAAUAAGGACCGGCUAACUACGUGCCAGCCGCCGCGGUAA
rnacentral:rRNA from 1 species